rnacentral:rRNA from 1 species
GUCAAGUCAUCAUGCCCCUUAUGACCUGGGCUACACACGUGCUACAAUGGCCGGUACAGCGCGCAGCGAACUCGCGAGGGUAAGCAAAUCGCUUAAAACCGGUCUCAGUUCGGAUCGGAGUCUGCAACUCGACUCCGUGAAGCUGGAGUUGCUAGUAAUCCCGGAUCAGCAACGCCGGGGUGAAUACGUUCCCGGGCCUU